GUGCUCGCUUCAGCAGAAUGUAUACUAAAAUUGGAAUGGUACAGAGAAGAUUAGCAUGGCCCCAGUGCAAGGUGAUGCAAAUUCGUGAAGUGUUCCAUAUUUAA
rnacentral:snRNA from 1 species